CAUCCCGUGCGGUGGCGGGCGCAGGCUUCCACGCCUGGGGUGGCUCCGCGGCCCAGUGGUUCGAUUCCACCUUGC
rnacentral:tRNA from 16 species